CCUACGGGUGGCUGCAGUGAGGAAUAGUGGUCAAUGGACGAGAGUCUGAACCAGCCAAGUAGCGUGAAGGAUGACUGCCCUAUGGGUUGUAAACUGCUGUUAUAGGGGAAUAAAAUGUUCCACGUGGGGGAUUUUGUAUGUACCAUAUGAAUAAGGAUCGGCUAACUCCGUGCCAGCAGCCGCGGUAAUACGGAGGAUCCGAGCGUUAUCCGGAUUUAUUGGGUUUAAAGGGAGCGUAGGGGGAUUGUUAAGUCAGUUGUGAAAGUUUGCGGCUCAACCGGAAAAUGGCAGUUGCAACUGGCAGUCUUGAGUCCAGUAGCGGUGGGCGGCAUUC
rnacentral:rRNA from 1 species